rnacentral:rRNA from 1 species
ACGAACGCUGGCGGCGUGCUUAACACAUGCAAGUCGAACGGAAAGGCCCUGCUUGCAGGGUACUCGAGUGGCGAACGGGUGAGUAACACGUGGGUGAUCUGCCCUGCACUUCGGGAUAAGCCUGGGAAACUGGGUCUAAUACCGGAUAGGAGCCAUUUUUAGUGUGAUGGUUGGAAAGUUUUUUCGGUGUAGGAUGAGCUCGCGGCCUAUCAGCUUGUUGGUGGGGUAAUGGACUACCAAGGCGGCGACGGGUAGCCGGCCUGAGAGGGUGGACGGCCACAUUGGGACUGAGUGACGGCCCAGACGCCUGCGGGAGGCAGAAGUGGGGAAUAUUGCUCCAUGGGCGCAAGCCUGGUGCAGAGAAGCCGCGUGAGGAAUAACAGCCUUCGGGUUGGAAUCACGAUUCCCUAGGGACGAAGCUUUUUUUGACGGUACCUACAAAAGAAGCACCGGCUAACUACGUG